rnacentral:rRNA from 1 species
GCNGGGUUGUCGCUGANCUUUCCNAAAGGUCGUGCACGCCCGAGCGCUCUCAAUCCAUUUCACCCCUUGUGCAUCACCGCGCGGGGUCGCUCCCUCUUGGCUCGCUUCGAGAGGGGGAGGCUCGCGUUUUUCACACAUAAACACCCUUCUGGUUUAGAAUGUCAUUCAUUUGCGAUCACACGCAAUCAAUACAACUUUCAACAACGGAUCUCUUGGCUCUCGCAUCGAUGAAGAACGCAGCGAAAUGCGAUACGUAAUGUGAAUUGCAGAAUUCAGUGAAUCAUCGAAUCUUUGAACGCAUCUUGCGCCCCUUGGUAUUCCGAGGGGCACACCCGUUUGAGUGUCGUGAAAUUCUCAAACCUUCUUGGUUUCUCGAUCAAGAUGGCUUUGGACUUUGGAGGCAUUUUGCUGGCUUUGCGAAAAGCCAGCUCCUCUUAAAUACAUUAGUGGGGUCCCCUUUGCCGAUCCCCAGGCGUGAUAAGAUGUUUCUACGUCUCGGGAUUUGCUCUGUUCCUUGGGAACCCGCUUAUAACCGUCUCAUGGGAGACAUCGUUCGAGCAUGCUCGACCCACGAACCUUGACCUCAAAUCGGGUGAGACUACCCGCUGAACUUAAGCAUAUCAAUAANNNGGANGAAGNGUUGG